UACGUAGGGACCAAGCGUUGUUCGGAUUUACUGGGCGUAAAGGGCGCGUAGGCGGCAAUUCAAGUCAGCUGUGAAAUCUCCGGGCUUAACUCGGAACGGUCAGCUGAUACUGCUUUGCUAGAGUGCAGAAGGGGCAAUCGGAAUUCUUGGUGUAGCGGUGAAAUGCGUAGAUAUCAGGAGGAACACCGGUGGUGUAGACGGCUUACUGGACCACGACUGACACUGAGGCACGAAAGCGUGGGUAGCAAACAGG
rnacentral:rRNA from 1 species